UACGGAGGGUGCAAGCGUUGCUCGGAAUUAUUGGGCGUAAAGGGUAGGUAGGUGGUCUGAUUUGUCUGGGGUGAAAGCCUUGAGCUUAACUCAAGAAGUGCCCCAGAAACGGUCAGACUAGAGUACUGGAGAGGGUCGUGGAAUUCCCGGUGUAGCGGUGAAAUGCGUAGAGAUCGGGAGGAACACCAGAGGCGAAGGCGGCGACCUGGACAGUAACUGACACUCAACUACGAAAGCGUGGGGAGCAAACAGG
rnacentral:rRNA from 1 species